AGAAGUAUCAGAUCCCUCAUAUUCAUUGAGAGCCUCAAUCCUUUCUUUCAACCUCCCUCUUGUUUUCACUCAAUUUAGGAGAGCUGGGGACCGAACCCAGGGCCUUGUGCUUCCUAGAGACUUCCGGGCCCCUGGCUGCUGUAGGACAAGCCCCCCAAGAAACAGUGACUCCCCACAAUCUACAGCUGCCAAAAUUGUUGCCCUAGUCUCACAGAACUGCCCUGGGCACAAACUGACCAGCAAUGGCCUUUCGAGGAAGCGAAGAUGCUUGUGAUAAAUUCUCUUCCAGACAGUUGGACAUCUGCUCUCCUUAGAGGGACGACUUCUAUGGUAGAAGCAUCUACUGUCUACUUGCUGCCCUGAGGACUGCUGUCAGAAUAAAACCCACAGGGGCAGUUAAGGCUUUGUGUGAGAGAAUAUGGAUUCUAGAAGCUUCCUUGAGACGUAUGAAUGUUCUCAGGGGGAGAGGAGGAGGGAUACUUUGUACCUGCUAGCGAUUCCUUUCAAACUUGCUCCCUUCUGUUCCCUGAGGCCUCCCUGUUAUUAUGAUUUUUUAGUCAUUUAUUUUUGUGUUUCACUUAAACCUCUUGUUCGUCGUUGAUGUGCAGACUUUGGGUCUGGUUAAUUUUAGUCCAUGAUGUUCUUUAUUCCCAGGUUUUUUUUUUAUAAUAAAGUUUAUUUUAAAAAUCAACUUUGCGUGGGCAGGAGAGAUGGUGAAAUGCUUUAAAAGCAGUUGUCCUUCAUGCAGAAGACACAGGUUCGUUUACCAGAACCCAUUUAAUGGCUCACAACCGUCCAUAACGCCAGUUCCAGGGGAAUCCAAAGUCUUCUGGCCUCCAGGGCACUGCAUG
rnacentral:sRNA from 1 species